rnacentral:ncRNA from 14 species
AUCCAGACGGAACGUGAUGGUUCCCUAAUGGGCAAAGCCCAGGGGAUUAAAACGGGAACACGGUGAGGACGACCCAAUCGGGGCCGAAGCCGUGGCUGCCCCCGCAACUGUGAGCGGCGAGUCAGCGUCCAAUGACACAAGCCACUGGGGAGUUUCUCCGGGAAGGCUGGACGCCAGACCAUGACCCGCGAAGCCAGGAGACCUGCCUCACGUCGUCGCCCAUCU